rnacentral:rRNA from 1 species
AACCCAUGUGAACAUACCUACUGUUGCUUCGGCGGGAUUGCCCCGGGCGCCUCGUGUGCCCCGGAUCAGGCGCCCGCCUAGGAAACUUAACUCUUGUUUUAUUUUGGAAUCUUCUGAGUAGUUUUUACAAAUAAAUAAAAACUUUCAACAACGGAUCUCUUGGUUCUGGCAUCGAUGAAGAACGCAGCGAAAUGCGAUAAGUAAUGUGAAUUGCAGAAUUCAGUGAAUCAUCGAAUCUUUGAACGCACAUUGCGCCCGCCAGUAUUCUGGCGGGCAUGCCUGUCUGAGCGUCAUUUCAACCCUCAUGCCCCUAGGGCGUGGUGUUGGGGAUCGGCCAAAGCCCGCGAGGGACGGCCGGCCCCUAAAUCUAGUGGCGGACCCGUCGUGGCCUCCUCUGCGAAGUAGUGAUAUUCCGCAUCGGAGAGCGAUGAGCCCCUGCCGUUAAACCCCCAACUUUCUAAGGUUGACCUCAGAUCAG